GCCCUUCACUACGGAAUAGCCUCUGGAAACGGAGAGUAAUACCGUAUACGCCCUUUUGGGGAAAGAUUUAUCGGUGAAGGAUUAGCCCGCGUCUGAUUAGAUAGUUGGUGGGGUAACGGCCUACCAAGUCGACGAUCAGUAGCUGGUUUGAGAGGAUGAUCAGCAACACUGGGACUGAGACACGGCCCAGACUCCUACGGGAGGCAGCAGUGGGGAAUCUUAGACAAUGGGCGCAAGUGAUCUAGCCAUGCCGCGUGAGUGACGAAGGCCUUAGGGUCGUAAAGCUCUUUCGCCAGGGAUGAUAAUGACAGUACCUGGUAAAGAAACCCCGGCUAACUCCGUGCCAGCAGCCGCGGUAAUACGGAGGGGGUUAGCGUUGUUCGGAAUUACUGGGCGUAAAGCGCGCGUAGGGGAUUGGAAAGUUGGGGGUGAAAUCCCGGGGCUCAACCCCGAACGCCUCCAAAACUAUCAGUCUAGAGUUCGAGAGAGGUGAGUGGAAUUCCAAGUGUAGAGGUGAAAUUCGUAGAUAUUUGGAGGAACACCAGUGGCGAAGGGGCUCACUGGCUCGAUACUGACGCUGAGGUGCGAAAGUGUGGGGAGCAAACAGGAUUAGAUACCCUGGUAGUCCACACCGUAAACGAUGAAUGCCAGACGUCGGGGGGCUUGCCUUCGGUGUCACACCUAACGGAUUAAGCAUUCCGCCUGGGGAGUACGGUCGCAAGAUUAAAACUCAAAGGAAUUGACGGGGG
rnacentral:rRNA from 1 species